rnacentral:rRNA from 1 species
UUUUCUGAGGUGUGGCUCGCACCUGUCCAACUAAACUUGAGCUACCAAAUUUUAACACGGUUGCAUCGGUUGGCUGUCAAACAGUGCGGCGCGUCCUUCCCUAAUUUUUAUUUUUUUAAUUAUUUGGGAGAGGCGUUGCCAAGCUGGGCGGCGGUCGACACAACAAUGAAACACUUUUGAUGAUCUAGGAUUUGAAUGAAAGUUCAUUUUUACGAUGGAACCGACUGGUAAUGCGGUCGUCUAAAUCUAAAAAACAACUUUUGGCAACGGAUCUCUUGGUUCUCCCAUCGAUGAAGAACGCAGCGAAUUGCGAUAAGUAAUGUGAAUUGCAGAAGUGAAUCAUCGAAUCUUUGAACGCACCUUGCGCUCCCGGCAGAUCUAAUCUGGGGAGCAUGCCUGUUUGAGGGCCGCGAAUUGUUUCGAACGACAGCUUUCUUCUUUGCAAGAAGGUUGGCGGAUCGGUAUUGAGGGUUUUUUGCCAUUCACCAUGGCUCCCUCGAAAUGCAUUAGCGCAUCCAUUUGAUAGGCAAGACGGACGAAAGCUUACUUUUGCUCUCUCUUCCCUGCCGGGUUUUGAUAAUAUCAGGACUUCGGAGAGGUUGAGAUGGGUACAAGCUGGACGGAACGUUUUGCUGGUUGGAGUGCUUCUGAAACCCGCCCAUAUCCUUGCUCAUUUUGAGCGAGGGAAGGGAUUUUUCAAUUCAUCGGCCUC